rnacentral:lncRNA from 1 species
CUGUGGGGGAUGGGGGUGUGCUUUCUGGGACAAUGGAGUUAUGUUCCCAGGGGGAUUAUGGCUGUCUUUGCUGUGUCACAUAGGUCACCAGGGAAGUGGGGGAAAGCCAGCAGACACAGUCCUCACCCAGUUCCCACACAGCCCACAGCCCAAAAGGCCGGUCUCACUGCUACCAUGCCCCCACAACAGCACUGAGUUUAUUUCCAGGUAGCCAGUGAGCAAUGCUGAGAACUUUCUUCAGACUACAAGCCUGUCAACUGAGAAAGUAAGCCAACUGACAGUUCCUUAGCUGUCCCACGGAGCCUGCAGAGGCAGACCACCUCCUUCAAAGGGACCGUGGGUUCUCUUGGCUUUCCUGCCUUCCAUAAAACCAACAAUGCCAAAAAGAUAAUAUCAUGUAUCUUACAACAUAAAAUAUGCCAAUGGUCUACAGACCUCGAUUCAUUUUAAACUUAAGCAAGCAUUGGAAUUCAGAACAGUUCCUCUUUAAUGGCCUCUCCUGAGAACUGACCACUUUCAGGGAAAAUCAUUACUGGCUCGACAGUUAGAUCAUGCCACUUGAUCAUCAAAUUUACCUACACCUGUUGCUUUCUAGCCAAAUGUCCUCCUCCCUAUAUAAGAAGACCCCAUUCUGUCUAAACUUUGAGAUAGGCAUAGAUUUUAUCCUGAGAAUAUUCUCCCUUUCACAAUGGUCUCCCUCCAUUUAUUGCAGUAGUCUAUUUGAA